UCCACAUGGAUGUGUGCUCCUCCCACAAC
rnacentral:piRNA from 1 species